CCAAAUUCCAUCCAUGGAGAAUCUCACCUUCCUCAAAAAUGGCGUUCUCCGAUUACCCCCCGGCUUCCGCUUCCACCCCACCGACGAGGAGCUCGUCCUGCAAUACCUCAUGAAGAAAGCCCUUUCCUCCCCUCUCCCGGCCGCCGUCAUUCCCGACGCCGAUGUCUGCAGAUUCGACCCAUGGGACUUGCCAGGCGAUUUGGAGCGGGAGAGAUACUUUUUCAGUACAAGAGAAGCCAAAUACUCUAAUGGAAGAAGGUCUAACAGAGCCACUGGUUCUGGGUAUUGGAAGGCUACUGGAAUUGAUCGGAGAAUUGUUUCUUCAAAGGAGAAUCGAUUGGUAGGGUUUAAGAAAACCCUUGUUUUCUAUACUGGAAAACCCCCUAAUGGCUCAAGAACUGAUUGGGUUAUGCAUGAGUAUCGUCUUGUCGGAAGUCCCGAAGCUCCUCCUUCCACCUUUAAUGACGGACUAUCCACCUUGAAUCGUAACUGGGUUUUAUGUCGGAUAUUUUUAAAGAAAAGAAGCACAAGAGAAAGAGAUGAGAAGAAGAAUAUUUGUAAGCCAGUUUUUCAUCAGUUUCUAAGAACAAGGAAUGGGACUGAUUUGAAUGUUGCUCCAUGUUCUUCAUCCUCUGGAUCAAGUGGAGUUACAGAGAUUUCAGUAAAUAAUCAUCAAGAACAAGAAGAAACCAGCAGC
rnacentral:misc_RNA from 1 species